rnacentral:rRNA from 1 species
GAUGUCGACCGGCGAUCCGCUAUCGUUAACUGAAUGACUUAGCGGGCAGCCUCGGGGAAACCAGAGUGUUUGGGUUCCGGGGGUAGUAUGGUUGCAAAGCUGAAACUUAAAAGAAUUGACGGAAGGGCACCACCAGGAGUGGAGCCUGCGGCUUAAUUUGACUCAACACGGGAAAUCUCACCAGGCCCGGACACCGGAAGGAUUGACAGAUUGAGAGCUCUUUCUUGAUUCGGUGGGUGGUGGUGCAUGGCCGUUCUUAGUUGGUGGAGCGAUUUGUCUGGUUAAUUCCGAUAACGAACGAGACUCUGGCCUACUAACUAGACGUUAGAUCCCUUUGUGGGUCUAUCGCAGCUUCUUAGAGGGACGGGCGGCGUUUAGCCGCACGAGAUUGAGCAAUAACAGGUCUGUGAUGCCCUUAGAUGUUCUGGGCUGCACGCGCGCUACACUGAAGGAAUCAGCGUGUGUUCCUAACCCGAAAGGGUUGGGAAACCCGUUGAACCUCCUUCGUGAUGGGGAUUGGGGAUUGCAAUUAUUCCCCAUGAACGAGGAAUUCCCAGUAGGCGCGAGUCAUAAGCUUGCGUCGAUUACGUCCCUGCCCUUUGUACACACCGCCCGUCGCUACUACCGAUCGAGUGAUUUAGUGAGGCCUUCGGACUGGUCUUCAGUAUGGCUUUCGGGUCGUGUUGGAGUGCCGGAAAGAUGACCAAACUUGAUCACUUAGAGGAAGUAAAA